rnacentral:rRNA from 1 species
UUAAAAUGUAAUUAAAAGACGAGAAGACCCUAUAGAUCUUUAUUUUUGUUAAUUAUAAAUUAAAAAGAAUAAUUAAAUUUAUAUUUUAAUAAAAAAUUUUACUGGGGUGGUAUUAAAAUUUAAAAAACUUUUAUUUUCAAUUUACAUUAAUUUAUGAAUAUUUGAUCCAGUUAUAUUGAUUAAAAAAUUAAGUUACCUUAGGGAUAACAGCGUAAUUUUUUUUUAGAGUUCUUAUCGACAAAAAAA